UUAAACCUCAUAAUGUGUGCCUGUGAUCCCCAGCUUUUCUUCUUUAUGAGAGUGUUAACGUUCUUCUUCCUUUUUUUUUUUUUCUAUUGAAAUCUGUGGGAGAGUAAGUGCAGGAUCUGGUCCCUAAAGCUGCUCCAUCACGUUGCCAAGUAACCAGAGGAGUAAUAUAGUUUGUUUUCCAUGGAGGGCAGGAAGAAUCAAAGUGCUUGUGUGAAGGAUCACAGAGCCUAAGGAAAUGUGUGAUCAGUGAGGAGACUGAAACCAGCAUGAUCCUGCCACUUAGAGACAUUCUGUACCCUAAGUGUGUCUCAUGCCUUCUUAUUUCUGCCCUCUCCAUGGACGACCUAGAAGAACAGUAGCUCACUACAGUUCUCAUGUGAUAACUGAAUGUGAACUAAUAGCGAGCUGACAAUACACUUUCAUGCUUUAUGAAAAGGAGUAUAUGAGGGAGCUGACAAGAGUAAGGAGACCUGGAAAUGUUCCCUGGUCACUUCAGCCUUGUCACUGUCACUUCUUCAGACAGCAAGCAUCUGUGGGGAAGAGCGAGCUGGAGGAACCUGCUCUAGGGAAUCUGCACCAUGUCUGCAUACAGGCUGGGCAAGACUUGCAAGCCACAAGUAGACCAUUUGUCUUUGGUCCCAAAAGAUCAUGAAUGCCUGAAAUGGUGCUGCAGACACUAAGAAUGCAAGAAGGAACUUUCAAAUCAAGAAUUUCAGGAGGAAAGAUAAAAGGUUUUGGACUUUUCAUUGAAGCUGCUGCAGCGCGUCAAGCAUGUGGAACAUUUUAACAAGGAGUUUUUAAUGAAUCCCUGGGAAGAAAGUGCCCUCGAAAACAAUACUUCAGUACGUAAGCACUUAUAUACUCUGCAACAAUAAAAACAGAACACAUGGAAAAGAUUUUCCUGCCUCUCUGUGUUUUAAACAAACUUUAGCCACAAUCAAGGUCAUAGCCAUUCACUGAGAGGUACUUUUGAUUAAAGGUUUUUUUCUCCAAGGUUGCAAGUAAAUUAUUUCAGCCCGUUUGAUGAUUUGCUAGAAAGGUGUGUUAAAUUGCUGGUAAUUUGAAUUGUGUAUUCAAUUGUGUCUACACAUUCCUUGCAUGUUUCCAUAAAUGCCGGCAUCACUUCUGUAUUACUCUUGGCUUCUUGCACUUGUGUCAGAAGGAAAUGAGUGAUUUUAACACAGCCAUGAAGUUCAAUACAAAGUGGAGAGGGGCAGAAUUUCCCUCAGGUCUUAAUCCCAGUGAAGGUUCAGGGCACUGAGCAGUUAUAAUCAGUCACUUGUCUUUCUGAAUUACUCUAUCCAAAGACACAGGCAGCUCUAUAAUGUCUUCUUAUUUUUCUGUACCAUCAAAUGAAUUUGACAUGAGAAGAAAAGAAAAUGGACAACAAGGAAAAUCAGGACACAGGAUUAAGACAGAGAGUUUUGACGUGUUGACCUUAGUUCUGAUUUUAUGCAGUCAAAUGUUUGAUGUUUAUAGUUUUUUGACCGUCUCUGCAACCUUUGCUGAAGCACUGUAAGAAUUAGAUGACUUGAUGUUUCUGAAGCUGUUUUCUUCUGAGGAAAAAAAGGAAACCAACUGAAAAA
rnacentral:lncRNA from 1 species